rnacentral:misc_RNA from 1 species
AGUCGUAACAAGGUAUCCGUAGGUGAACCUGCGGAUGGAUCAUUAACAAAGGUGUAUUUGAAGUUGUGUGAACAGUUGGAGGUGGUGGUGGUGGUAGUGGUAUUGGGUGGUAUUGGGUGUGUUUGUGGGUGGUGUAACCUUGGUCUAACCUUGGUCAACCUCACUCAACCUCACUCAACCUCACUCAACCUCACUCUCCCAACCUCACUCUCCCAACCUCACUCUCCCAACCUCCACCACUCCGUCCCUAUAAUGUAUACAAACUGAUGUCUGCUAGUUUCAAACUAAAACAACUUUUAGCAACGGAUCUCUUGGCUCUC